AAUUCCUACGGGACGCAGCAGUGAGGAAUAUUGGUCAAUGGGCUUACGCCUGAACCAGCCAAGUCGCGUGGGGGAAGACUGCCCUAUGGGUUGUAAACCUCUUUUGUCAGGGAGCAACGCCGGCUACGUGUAGCCGGACUGAGAGUACCUGAGUAAGAAGCCCCGGCUAACUACGUGCCAGCAGCCGCGGUAAUACGUAGGGGGCAAGCGUUAUCCGGAUUUACUGGGUGUAAAGGGAGCGUAGACGGCUGCGCAAGUCUGAA
rnacentral:rRNA from 1 species